rnacentral:rRNA from 1 species
AACGCUAGCUACAGGCUUAACACAUGCAAGUCGAGGGGCAGCAUAAAAGUAGCAAUACUUUGGUGGCGACCGGCGCACGGGUGAGUAACGCGUAUGCAACCUACCUAUCAGAGGGGAAUAACCCGGCGAAAGUCGGACUAGUACCGCAUAAAACAGGGGCACCGCAUGGUGAUAUUUGUUAAAGAAAUUCGCUGAUAGAUGGGCAUGCGUUCCAUUAGGUAGUUGGUGAGGUAACGGCUCACCAAGCCGACGAUGGAUAGGGGAACUGAGAGGUUGGUCCCCCACACUGGUACUGAGACACGGACCAGACUCCUACGGGAGGCAGCAGUGAGGAAUAUUGGUCAAUGGGCGAGAGCCUGAACCAGCCAAGUAGCGUGAAGGAUGACUGCCCUAUGGGUUGUAAACUUCUUUUAUACGGGAAUAACACGCGGCACGUGUGCCGCUCUGCAUGUACCGUAUGAAUAAGCAUCGGCUAACUCCGUGCCAGCAGCCGCGGUAAUACGGAGGAUGCGAGCGUUAUCCGGAUUUAUUGGGUUUAAAGGGAGCGUAGACGGGUCCUUAAGUCAGUUGUGAAAGUUUGCGGCUCAACCGUAAAAUUGCAGUUGAUACUGGGGACCUUGAGUGCGGCAGAGGCAGGCGGAAUUCGUGGUGUAGCGGUGAAAUGCUUAGAUAUCACGAAGAACUCCGAUUG